AUCCAGCUGACGAAUCCCAAAUAGGACGAAACGCGCAUCCUGGAU
rfam:Schistosoma curassoni strain Dakar, Senegal genome assembly, scaffold: SCTD_contig0002544